UAACCAUUAUCGUGAGAUAAUGCUGAACGUACAGAAGUCAGCCGAGGUCAUAGUAGCCGAGAGGCAAAGGAC
rfam:Clostridium asparagiforme DSM 15981 C_asparagiforme-1.0_Cont164.1, whole genome shotgun sequence.